rnacentral:rRNA from 1 species
GGGACGAAGCCUGAUCCAGCAUGCCGCGUGCAUGAUGAAGGUCUUCGGAUUGUAAACCUCUUUUGUCCGGGACGAAAACGUCUGACCUUAUCUGGUCUGCUAGUGACGGUACCUUAAAAGAAAGCCCCGGCUUACUACGUGCCACCAGCCGCUAUAAU